CUUGCACUGACGACACAGCAUCGUUUUUUUUUUUUUUGUUUUUUUUUUAAUUUGCAUUAAUUUGACAUUACAGUAAGACUAAGGGGGACGACCUAGCGGUAGAGAGCUAGACUGCUAACCGUAAGUCUCGAGUUCGAAUCCGGGUUCAAGUCAGUAGACCGUCCCUGAGUCCACCCAGCUCUGAUGAGUACCUAACUCACGUUAGGCUGGGCCUAGUGUUAACCACACCAUACAGAGGUCACAGACAUAGAUCAUGUUAGACAAAUUAACUAAUAAAGAAAGUCUUUCUGUAUUACUUUUUUGUAUAAGAAGUAUAGAGGAAGUAUUGUAAUCGUGCAAAAAACUGAAAUCAAGAUUUUGACAAAUCUCAACGCUUUACUGCACACCUCCCAGAGUCGGAAAAACUAUUUGAAAUUGUGUGUGUAUGUCAGUCUGUCAACACGAUAACUUAACGUUUCAGUUAUGUUGAAGAAAAU